ensembl:misc_RNA Y_RNA Y RNA
GGCUGGUCCGAUGGCAGUGGGUUAUCAGAACUUAACGUUAGUGUCACUAAACUUGGUAUACAACCACCCCCAUUGCUAAAUUUGACUGGCUUAAA